rnacentral:SRP_RNA from 1 species
GAAGCAUCACUAUUCAACUUAUCACGGGUGAACCUGGUCAGGUCUUGAUUGAAGCAGCCAUAAGCUUGCUAUGAGUGUGGGUAGUGAUGCUUCAAA